rnacentral:lncRNA from 1 species
UUUUCAAAGUAAAUCAGACAGAACAGAUCAAUAGCUCUCUCUAUUAUUUGCCUGACCUUUGCCUGCUCUGUUUUCUGUCUAAUUCUGCAGACCCAAGGUGAACUAUCCCGCGACCUGCCACCUAUAGGCUGUUAAAGACAAUCAGAAAAUACCAUAUAUGAACUACUGGGUGCAGUGUCGCUUCACCUUUUACAUUGUGAAGAAGAGUUGCACAACAGAAGAAGAACCAACCUAAAGCCUCAAAAGUUUGGGACCAUUUCACUGAAAACUUUUACAACUCACCUGAGACCAUCCCUUCUCGGACCAGAUGAUCGGAGCGCCUCGUUCCUGUCUCCAUUGAAUAUCAGAGCUUUCAUCGUUGGAGAGUGGGUCGAUUCGGCAAGAGAAGCUUAAGAGAAUGAGGAAACGCAGCAAACCACUGACAUUCAACACCUUCUCAGUUGUGGCGCUCCAGGAAAAAGACGUGAGUCUGUCCUGACAGCCUUGAUGUCCUCAGGUGUCUUUGUCCCUUUGCUCAUUCAAUGUAAAGAAUACCAGCGAUGAAAAUGAAUUAAAACAUUUUUGAUUCUAGCUUAGUAGUGCAUAAUAAAGGAUAUCUCAUCUCAUAAUGAUUGCA